rnacentral:rRNA from 1 species
UACAACAUAGAGUUAACGCACCGAUUCCCAUUAGAACUUUGUAGUUAAGCACGCUUAGGAUAGAGUAGUAUUGGGAUGGGUGACUGCCCGGGAAGUCCUAUUGUUUUAC